GCUGGGAACAGAUCAGGAAUGCUCUUCAUAACUUCUCAGAACUUCUGUUGUUACAUGCUUCAUCACAGAGGAUGUUGGGAAGAGACCUGCUCUUUUCUGGUAAAGAAUCAAAAAGUUCAAGGCAGUGAAGCUAUUCCACAGUUGAUACUCCAGCCUCACCUCUCCAGUAACCCUAAGAAAGGACUGCUUUCAUCAUCCAUCAGUUUAAGUCUUUACUCCUGAGGGCAUUCUGUGCCAAAAAAUUAAAAAUUCUCUGCACA